UACGAAGGGGGCUAGCGUUGCUCGGAAUCACUGGGCGUAAAGCGCACGUAGGCGGAUUGCUAAGUCAGGGGUGAAAUCCUGGAGCUCAACUCCAGAACUGCCUUUGAUACUGGCGAUCUUGAGUCCGGGAGAGGUGAGUGGAACUGCGAGUGUAGAGGUGAAAUUCGUAGAUAUUCGCAAGAACACCAGUGGCGAAGGCGGCAUCCUGGACCAUGACUGACGCUGAGGAGCGAAAGCCAGGGGAGCAAACGGG
rnacentral:rRNA from 1 species